rnacentral:rRNA from 1 species
AGAGUUUGAUCAUGGCUCAGAUUGAACGCUGGCGGCAGGCCUAACACAUGCAAGUCGAACGGUAACAGGAAACAGCUUGCUGUUUCGCUGACGAGUGGCGGACGGGUGAGUAAUGUCUGGGAAACUGCCUGAUGGAGGGGGAUAACUACUGGAAACGGUAGCUAAUACCGCAUAACGUCGCAAGACCAAAGAGGGGGACCUUCGGGCCUCUUGCCAUCAGAUGUGCCCAGAUGGGAUUAGCUAGUAGGUGGGGUAACGGCUCACCUAGGCGACGAUCCCUAGCUGGUCUGAGAGGAUGACCAGCCACACUGGAACUGAGACACGGUCCAGACUCCUACGGGGGCAGCAGUGGGGAAUAUUGCACAAUGGGCGCAAGCCUGAUGCAGCCAUGCCGCGUGUAUGGAGAAGGCCUUCGGGUUGUAAAGUACUUUCAGCGGGGAGGAAGGGAGUAAAGUUAAUACCUUCGCUCAUUGACGUUACCCGCAGAAGAAGCACCGGCUAACUCCGUGCCAGCAGCCGCGGUAAUACGGAGGGUGCAAGCGUUAAUCGGAAUUACUGGGCGUAAAGCGCACGCAGGCGGUUUGUUAAGUCAGAUGUGAAAUCCCCGGGCUCAACCUGGGAACUGCAUCUGAUACUGGCAAGCUUGAGUCUCGUAGAGGGGGGUAGAAUUCCAGGUGUAGCGGUGAAAUGCGUAGAGAUCUGGAGGAAUACCGGUGGCGAAGGCGGCCCCCUGGACGAAGACUGACGCUCAGGUGCGAAAGCGUGGGGAGCAAACAGGAUUAGAUACCCUGGUAGUCCACGCCGUAAACGAUGUCGACUUGGAGGUUGUGCCCUUGAGGCGUGGCUUCCGGAGCUAACGCGUUAAGUCGACCGCCUGGGGAGUACGGCCGCAAGGUUAAAACUCAAAUGAAUUGACGGGGGCCCGCACAAGCGGUGGAGCAUGUGGUUUAAUUCGAUGCAACGCGAAGAACCUUACCUGGUCUUGACAUCCACGGAAGUUUUCAGAGAUGAGAAUGUGCCUUCGGGAACCGUGAGACAGGUGCUGCAUGGCUGUCGUCAGCUCGUGUUGUGAAAUGUUGGGUUAAGUCCCGCAACGAGCGCAACCCUUAUCCUUUGUUGCCAGCGGUCCGGCCGGGAACUCAAAGGAGACUGCCAGUGAUAAACUGGAGGAAGGUGGGGAUGACGUCAAGUCAUCAUGGCCCUUACGACCAGGGCUACACACGUGCUACAAUGGCGCAUACAAAGAGAAGCGACCUCGCGAGAGCAAGCGGACCUCAUAAAGUGCGUCGUAGUCCGGAUUGGAGUCUGCAACUCGACUCCAUGAAGUCGGAAUCGCUAGUAAUCGUGGAUCAGAAUGCCACGGUGAAUACGUUCCCGGGCCUUGUACACACCGCCCGUCACACCAUGGGAGUGGGUUGCAAAAGAAGUAGGUAGCUUAACCUUCGGGAGGGCGCUUACCACUUUGUGAUUCAUGACUGGGGUGAAGUCGAAACAAGGUAACCGUAGGGGAUCCUGCGGUUG